UCCCAGCUCCCGGCUCAGAGCGAGCUCUUCCCGGGCAGGCCGGGCCGCGGGGACGCGUUGGGCAAAAGCGGCCCCGGGCAGGAGGCGGUAAUAAGGCCUCCGGAGGAAGGGACCCAGGGGAGCCGAGUCCCGGAGGCCGGAGGGCAGUGCCCAGGGGUCCUGCAGGCUCUGACGCAAGGAGGGCCGAGUGACCUCCACCGGGAGCGUGGGAGGGCGAGGCCCCGGGAAACCGCAGGGAAUGUGGGGGCGCCAGGAGCCCAAGGAGCAGGGAGGCGCGGGCGUGGGGAGGAGAGUGGAAGGAGGGGGGAAGAGAAGCUCAUCAAACAGCCGGAGGUGGGGGGCGGCGGGAGGCGACGGAGACCGGGAGGGGAGCGCAGGAGCGAGCGGGAACCCUGAGGGAGGCGGCGGCGAGAGGGAGCGGGUAGGAGGAAUACCCGGUGCGGAGCGGCCCGAGGGAGCGCGCGAGCACCGACUCCACAUGUAACUGAGAGAACAUGUGCUGUUUGUCUCACUGUGCUUGGCUUAUUUCACUGAACAUGCCGACCUCCAGUUCCACCCUUGUUAUUUACAGAGAAAAGGAAAUACAGAUAAAAAGAUCUUCCAUUCGUUGGUUCACUCCCCAAGUGGCUGCAAUGGCUGGAGCUAAGCUGAUCCGAAGCUAGGAGCCAGGAGCUUCUUC